GCAGUUUUCGGAGUGGCUAAAGUUUGCUAAAAUGUAUGCUAAAAUGAAACUAAAGUGAAGAAACUUGUGUCAGGCAAGGAAACAUCUUUCCUCUUCAGAAAUCUCUGUACAUAGCUACAGUCUCCUAUCGCUGUGGGCCUUUUAAUAAUCUAAGAACAGUCAACAUUAACACAGGUGACAAUCAUCACUCCCCAAUCAGUCACCAAUCAGCCACAAUCAGAAGACAUCUGCUCCUUUUCCCUCAACCAAUCACAUCCCCUUUCCCUUGGUUUAAAAACCCCAGUCAGUAGCUCUCUCUCUCUCUCUCUCGUUCGUACCAAGACAAGUCGCCCAUGGGCUUACACUACCUAUAGGUAAACCUUGUCGAAAUACAUUGGUUAGAACUGGGCGGACCACCCACUGUAUUUUUGGUUAGUUAGCUA
rnacentral:lncRNA from 1 species